rnacentral:rRNA from 1 species
AGCGUACACGGUGGAUGCCCUGGCAGUCAGAGGCGAUGAAGGACGUGCUAAUCUGCGAUAAGCGUCGGUAAGGUGAUAUGAACCGUUAUAACCGGCGAUUUCCGAAUGGGGAAACCCAGUGUGUUUCGACACACUAUCAUUAACUGAAUCCAUAGGUUAAUGAGGCGAACCGGGGGAACUGAAACAUCUAAGUACCCCGAGGAAAAGAAAUCAACCGAGAUUCCCCCAGUAGCGGCGAGCGAACGGGGAGCAGCCCAGAGCCUGAAUCAGUGUGUGUGUUAGUGGAAGCGUCUGGAAAGGCGCGCGAUACAGGGUGACAGCCCCGUACACAAAAAUGCACAUGCUGUGAGCUCGAUGAGUAGGGCGGGACACGUGGUAUCCUGUCUGAAUAUGGGGGGACCAUCCUCCAAGGCUAAAUACUCCUGACUGACCGAUAGUGAACCAGUACCGUGAGGGAAAGGCGAAAAGAACCCCGGCGAGGGGAGUGAAAAAGAACCUGAAACCGUGUACGUACAAGCAGUGGGAGCACGCUUAGGCGUGUGACUGCGUACCUUUUGUAUAAUGGGUCAGCGACUUAUAUUCUGUAGCAAGGUUAACCGAAUAGGGGAGCCGAAGGGAAACCGAGUCUUAACUGGGCGUUAAGUUGCAGGGUAUAGACCCGAAACCCGGUGAUCUAGCCAUGGGCAGGUUGAAGGUUGGGUAACACUAACUGGAGGACCGAACCGACUAAUGUUGAAAAAUUAGCGGAUGACUUGUGGCUGGGGGUGAAAGGCCAAUCAAACCGGGAGAUAGCUGGUUCUCCCCGAAAGCUAUUUAGGUAGCGCCUCGUGAAUUCAUCUCCGGGGGUAGAGCACUGUUUCGGCAAGGGGGUCAUCCCGACUUACCAACCCGAUGCAAACUGCGAAUACCGGAGAAUGUUAUCACGGGAGACACACGGCGGGUGCUAACGUCCGUCGUGAAGAGGGAAACAACCCAGACCGCCAGCUAAGGUCCCAAAGUCAUGGUUAAGUGGGAAACGAUGUGGGAAGGCCCAGACAGCCAGGAUGUUGGCUUAGAAGCAGCCAUCAUUUAAAGAAAGCGUAAUAGCUCACUGGUCGAGUCGGCCUGCGCGGAAGAUGUAACGGGGCUAAACCAUGCACCGAAGCUGCGGCAGCGACGCUUAUGCGUUGUUGGGUAGGGGAGCGUUCUGUAAGCCUGUGAAGGUGUGCUGUGAGGCAUGCUGGAGGUAUCAGAAGUGCGAAUGCUGACAUAAGUAACGAUAAAGCGGGUGAAAAGCCCGCUCGCCGGAAGACCAAGGGUUCCUGUCCAACGUUAAUCGGGGCAGGGUGAGUCGACCCCUAAGGCGAGGCCGAAAGGCGUAGUCGAUGGGAAACAGGUUAAUAUUCCUGUACUUGGUGUUACUGCGAAGGGGGGACGGAGAAGGCUAUGUUGGCCGGGCGACGGUUGUCCCGGUUUAAGCGUGUAGGCUGGUUUUCCAGGCAAAUCCGGAAAAUCAAGGCUGAGGCGUGAUGACGAGGCACUACGGUGCUGAAGCAACAAAUGCCCUGCUUCCAGGAAAAGCCUCUAAGCAUCAGGUAACAUCAAAUCGUACCCCAAACCGACACAGGUGGUCAGGUAGAGAAUACCAAGGCGCUUGAGAGAACUCGGGUGAAGGAACUAGGCAAAAUGGUGCCGUAACUUCGGGAGAAGGCACGCUGAUAUGUAGGUGAAGUCCCUUGCGGAUGGAGCUGAAAUCAGUCGAAGAUACCAGCUGGCUGCAACUGUUUAUUAAAAACACAGCACUGUGCAAACACGAAAGUGGACGUAUACGGUGUGACGCCUGCCCGGUGCCGGAAGGUUAAUUGAUGGGGUUAGCGGUAACGCGAAGCUCUUGAUCGAAGCCCCGGUAAACGGCGGCCGUAACUAUAACGGUCCUAAGGUAGCGAAAUUCCUUGUCGGGUAAGUUCCGACCUGCACGAAUGGCGUAAUGAUGGCCAGGCUGUCUCCACCCGAGACUCAGUGAAAUUGAACUCGCUGUGAAGAUGCAGUGUACCCGCGGCAAGACGGAAAGACCCCGUGAACCUUUACUAUAGCUUGACACUGAACAUUGAGCCUUGAUGUGUAGGAUAGGUGGGAGGCUUUGAAGUGUGGACGCCAGUCUGCAUGGAGCCGACCUUGAAAUACCACCCUUUAAUGUUUGAUGUUCUAACGUUGACCCGUAAUCCGGGUUGCGGACAGUGUCUGGUGGGUAGUUUGACUGGGGCGGUCUCCUCCUAAAGAGUAACGGAGGAGCACGAAGGUUGGCUAAUCCUGGUCGGACAUCAGGAGGUUAGUGCAAUGGCAUAAGCCAGCUUGACUGCGAGCGUGACGGCGCGAGCAGGUGCGAAAGCAGGUCAUAGUGAUCCGGUGGUUCUGAAUGGAAGGGCCAUCGCUCAACGGAUAAAAGGUACUCCGGGGAUAACAGGCUGAUACCGCCCAAGAGUUCAUAUCGACGGCGGUGUUUGGCACCUCGAUGUCGGCUCAUCACAUCCUGGGGCUGAAGUAGGUCCCAAGGGUAUGGCUGUUCGCCAUUUAAAGUGGUACGCGAGCUGGGUUUAGAACGUCGUGAGACAGUUCGGUCCCUAUCUGCCGUGGGCGCUGGAGAACUGAGGGGGGCUGCUCCUAGUACGAGAGGACCGGAGUGGACGCAUCACUGGUGUUCGGGUUGUCAUGCCAAUGGCACUGCCCGGUAGCUAAAUGCGGAAGAGAUAAGUGCUGAAAGCAUCUAAGCACGAAACUUGCCCCGAGAUGAGUUCUCCCUGACUCCUUGA